UCCAUCCUACAUGUAGUGUUGGUACAUGGAAUAUUCCUCAACUGCAUAUAUCAUAAAUUGCUAUUGUAAAUAGAAGUAUUAUGUUCAACAACUGACAUUUUCAGAUAUUAUUUUGACAAACACACUUUGGUGCAUACAAUUCAUUCUCUAUUGUCAUAGAUUUGGUGGGCACUGUCAUCUGGGAUCUUUGUGAUAUGACUUUCUUUAAGCACGUACUGAUGAAACUGUCACGUAAUAUUUAUUUCUUAAAGUCUACAGACGCUCUACAUUGAUUCACUCUGUAAUAGGGUUGGAUCCUAUAUGCUACUUUUAUUAGUGUCCUGUAAAUGGUUCAGUGCUUAUAAUUUAGGCUGUGUGUAGAAUGGGGCAUGAAGGAAAUGACCUCUACUUAUAAAUUCCUACUAGGUUGUAGUGAUAAGGAAAACAGCAUACACAUUUGGCUUGUGUAUUCAUUUGCCUAUAACUAAUCACAAUUCCAUUAUGUUUACAUAAAAAAGAGAAUACUUCAAAAUGAGAAGAUCCUGCCAUGGAAAAGAUGACUGGGCGGACAGGAAGUGGAAAGGAGGGGAAAUAACUCACACCAUGCAGCAGGACACCAGCUGUGGGGUCUUUGUAAUGCAGGUUUGAUAGUUGUAUUUUCAAUAAUGAAUGGUUUGCUGUUAUGUGACAAUUAGGUCAAAAACUAUAUUUUAUUUUUUGGUGUACAUGGCCAAGGAAGUUGCUUCCCCAUCAUCCCCUCCCAAAUUGAUAUGGAACCUUCAAAAACACAUGGCGAAACUGCAAAAGGAAAUAGUUGAGGAUGUACUAAAAAUGUCUGAGUUCAACAAAGCCAACAACUGCUUCAUGUGUGCCACUGAUAAAGAACCUGGAUGUGGCUCAAAGACUGACUGGAUUGAAUGUUUCCAUGCCAACGGUGGUUCCAUGUGCUGUGCUCAGGAAUGAAGACAAAAGAGUUCAACAGAGUAAAGAACACAAACUGGAAGUGCAGUCGGUUGUUGUUGAAAAUGUAUGCUGUACCCCAUCCACACUGAAGAGGCUCUGACAUGUACAUCAACCAGGGAUAAUGUCUGCUAUACCCCAUCCACACUGAAGAGGCUCUGACAUGUACAUCAAC